GACUCAACGCGGGAAAUCUUACCGGGUCCGGACACACUGAGGAUUGACAGAUAUACGCUACGUUGCGCUGCCUUCGGGUGCGCACGUGGCUCAAAGAUGCUAGUUCUUUCAUGAUUAUGUGAUAGGUGGUGCAUGGCCGUUCUUAGUUCGUGGAGUGAUCUGUCUGCUUAAUUGCGUAUCAAUAAUAGAGACCUAGUAUACGCGUAUUACUCAUGUGGUAGUGACCCCCUUCUCACGGAGGCGCGUGUCGCACAUAUGGUAUACGCACUGGUCUCAGAUAGCAACGAACGUGACCGUAUUCUAUUGUUGCAGUGAAUUAUACGUGUGCUUUAUUGUACACAUUCCCACUGCUUAGUGUGCGCUGCCAGCACUUGUUGCUGCUGCGUCACACAUUAAACUAUAGAGACCGCUGUUUCUUCUUUAAACCAGAGGAAGGAUACGGCAAUAACAGGUCUGUGAUGCCCUCAGAUGUUCCGGGCUGCACACGUGCUACAAUGAUCAUUGCACUGUGCAUCUAACCCAAUGUGCGCGGACGCCACGAUACGUAAAAUUGUCUUCGGGCAUUUUUUAUGUAUUCGCUUGUGCGACUGCGCCGAACCUACUUCGAAAGUAAAAUUUUUAAGUGGGUAAUCCAUUAGAAGUAAUGACUCGCAUAGACCAUGGCACACUAUAUGUACGCGCAGGUCUACCCGGCUCGCCUUUGUGUGAGUGCAGUGCGUAGCUUGUUGUUUCGUACGUGCCACUCCGUAUUAAUUCGUACGUGGGGAUAGAUCAUUGUUUAAUUGUUGGUCUCGGUCUUAACUAGGAAUGCCUUGUACGGGUCUUUGGUUCAACAUACCACCCGGAAUACGUCCCUGCCCUUUGUACACACCGCCCGUCGCUCUUACCGAUGGAUUAUACUAUGAAUCUAUAGGACUGCCAAAGCUUUGCGGCGUGUUCGCACACCGCGCUUAGUGGAAAUAUAUAUGAAUAGUGUGAUCUAAAG
rnacentral:rRNA from 1 species